CCUCCCUGACGAUGGGCAAAGAGACACCUUGUUGCUGGUUCUCAUAUCAGUCAGGGGCAGCGCAGUCGGCAGUCCUUUGUUCAUCCUGGCUUGAUGCCUGGCUUGGUGCCCAAAGUUGUUUUAUGCCUAGGAUGCGUAA